UACGUAGGGGGCUAGCGUUGUCCGGAAUCAUUGGGCGUAAAGCGCGCGUAGGCGGCCCUGUUAGUCCGCUGUAAAAGUCAAAGGCUCAACCUUUGAAUGCCGGUGGAUACUGCAGGGCUAGAGUCCGGAAGAGGCGAGUGGAACUCCUGGUGUAGCGGUGAAAUGCGCAGAUAUCAGGAGGAACACCUAUUGCGAAGGCAGCUCGCUGGGACGUAACUGACGCUGAGACGCGAAAGCGUGGGGAGCAAACAGG
rnacentral:rRNA from 1 species